CCAGUUCGUAGGUGACCUGCGGAAGGAUCAUUA
rnacentral:rRNA from 1 species